rnacentral:rRNA from 1 species
UACGAAGGGGGCUAGCGUUGCUCGGAAUCACUGGGCGUAAAGCGCACGUAGGCGGAUCUUUAAGUCAGGUGUGAAAUCCCAAGGCUCAACCUUGGAACUGCCUUUGAUACUGGGGAUCUCGAGUCCGGAAGAGGUGAGUGGAACUGCGAGUGUAGAGGUGAAAUUCGUAGAUAUUCGCAAGAACACCAGUGGCGAAGGCGGCUCACUGGUCCGGUACUGACGCUGAGGUGCGAAAGCGUGGGGAGCAAACAGG